CGUACACUCCUGCGGGAGGCAGCAGUGGGGAAUAUUGGACAAUGGGCGCAAGCCUGAUCCAGCCAUGCCGCGUGAGUGAUGAAGGCCCUAGGGUUGUAAAGCUCUUUCACCGGAGAAGAUAAUGACGGUAUCCGGAGAAGAAGCCCCGGCUAACUUCGUGCCAGCAGCCGCGGUAAUACGAAGGGGGCUAGCGUUGUUCGGAAUUACUGGGCGUAAAGCGCACGUAGGCGGAUCGAUCAGUCAGGGGUGAAAUCCCAGGGCUCAACCCUGGAACUGCCUUUGAUACUGUCGAUCUGGAGUAUGGAAGAGGUGAGUGGAAUUCCGAGUGUAGAGGUGAAAUUCGUAGAUAUUCGGAGGAACACCAGUGGCGAAGGCGGCUCACUGGUCCAUUACUGACGCUGAGGUGCGAAAGCGUGGGGAGCAAACAGGAUUAGAUACCCGAGUAGUCCCAUGA
rnacentral:rRNA from 1 species